rnacentral:rRNA from 1 species
CCUACGGGAUGCAGCAGUGAGGAAUAUUGGUCAAUGGGCGCGAGCCUGAACCAGCCAAGUAGCGUGAAGGAUGACUGCCCUACGGGUUGUAAACUUCUUUUCUAAAGGCAUCACGUGAGGCACGUGUGCCUUUUUGUAUGUACUUUAUGAAUAAGGAUCGGCUAAUUCCGUGCCAGCAGCCGCGGUAAUACGGAGGAUCCGCGCGUUAUCCGGAUUUAUUGGGUUUAAAGGGAGCGUAGAUGGGUUGUUAAGUCAGUUGUGAAAGUUUGCGGCUCAACCGUAAAAUUGCAAUUGGUACUGGCAGCCGUGAGUACAGUUGAGGUAGGAGGAAGUCGUGGUGUAGCGGGGAAAUGCUUAGAUAUCACGAAGAACUCCGAUUGCGAAGGCAGCUUACUAAACUGCCACUGACAUUGAUGCUCGAAAGUGUGGGUAUCAAACAGGAUUAGAUACCCCAGUAGUC